rnacentral:rRNA from 1 species
ACGCGAGGAACCUUACCAGGUCUUGACAUCCUCUGACACUCCUAGAGAUAGGACGUUCCCCUUCGGGGGACAGAGUGACAGGUGGUGCAUGGUUGUCGUCAGCUCGUGUCGUGAGAUGUUGGGUUAAGUCCCGCAACGAGCGCAACCCUUGAUCUUAGUUGCCAGCAUUUAGUUGGGCACUCUAAGGUGACUGCCGGUGACAAACCGGAGGAAGGUGGGGAUGACGUCAAAUCAUCAUGCCCCUUAUGACCUGGGCUACACACGUGCUACAAUGGAUGGUACAAAGGGCUGCAAGACCGCGAGGUUUAGCCAAUCCCAUAAAACCAUUCUCAGUUCGGAUUGCAGGCUGCAACUCGCCUGCAUGAAGCUGGAAUCGCUAGUAAUCGCGGAUCAGCAUGCCGCGGUGAAUACGUUCCCGGGCCUUGCACACACCGCCCGU